rnacentral:rRNA from 1 species
AAGGAGACACUGAAGGGUGCGCGGUGGAUGCCUAGGCUUAUGACAGCGAUGAAGGACGCGACUAAUCUGCGAAAAGCUUCGGGGAGGCGAUAUGUAGCCUUUGAUCCGGAGAUAUCCUAAUGGGGGAACCCUAUCCGUAUGGAUAAUCUUCAUAUACUUAUGAAGAGGCUAACUUGGGGAAGUAAAACAUUUCAGUACCCAAAGGAAUAGAAAACAACUACGAGUUGUUUUCUGUCCGCUUGAUUUAUCGAGCGGGUGGAAAGCAACUCUCGUGAUUCCCUUAGUAGCGGCGAGCGAAACGGGAACAGCCCAAACCGGAUAUUUCGAUAUCCGGGGUUGUAAGACAGAAGCGCCGUAUUUAUACGGCAAGAGUUACAAAAGAUGUAUAUAGCGGAAGCUGCUGGGAAGCAGCGCCCUAGAGGGUAAUGGCCCCGUACGCGAAAUAUACAACUCUCUUGUGCUUCUGCUCUUGAGUAGUUCGAGACACGAAUAGCUCGGAUGAAUCUGCCGGAACUAACCGGUAAGGCUAAAUAUGUCAUAAGACCGAUAGUGAACUAGUACCGUGAGGGAAAGGUGAAAAGAACCCCGAGAGGGGAGUGAAAUAGAACUGAAACCGCGUACUUACAAAGGGUUAGGGUGGGCUCCGGUCCAUCCUAGCGUGCCUAUUGAAGAAUGAGCCUGCGAGUGUAUGUAUGUUGCAUUGGCUAAAUCCGUAAUGGGAUGGAGCCGUAGGGAAACCGAGUGUGAAUAGCGCGUUAGUAGCAUACAUACGACCCGAAGCCAGGUGAGCUUGCCAUGAGCAGGGUGAAGUUAGUCGAAAGACUAAUGGAGGCCCGAACCCGUAGAUCGUACAACGUCUUGGGAUGACUUGUGGUAAGGAGUGAAAAGCUAAUCGAACCUGGUAAUAGCUGGUUCUCUCCGAAACAACUUUUGGGUUGGCGUCGUGUGAUCCCUCUGGGGGUAGAGCACUGGAAGGGAUGAACAGGGAGAAAUCUCGUCAUUCCUAUCAACCUCCGAAUACCAGAGAUUAACAGCACGGCAGUUAGACCAUGGGGGCGAAGCUCCAUCGGUCGAGAAGGGAAGAGCCUAGAUCGCCAGUUAAGGUCCCUAAAUUGACGCUGAGUACAACUUAAGGAAGUGAGGAUUCUUAGACAAUGAGGAUGUUGGCUUAGAAGCAGCCACCAUUUAAAGAAAGCGUAACAGCUCACUCAUCGAGAGUCCUUGCGCCGAAGAUGAUCGGGGUUAAGCGUCAUACCGAAACUGCGGACUUGUACAUGUCUUCGGACAAACAAGUGGUAGGAGAGCGUUCUAAUCUGCAAUGAAGCUAAAGGGGUGACCCAUAGUGGAGCGUUUAGAAGUGAGAAUGCAGGCACAAGUAACCACAAUGCGGGUGAGACCCCCGCACGUCGAAAGAACAAGGUUUCCUCAGCUAUGGUGAUCAACUGAGGGUUAGUCGGGCCUAAGGGGAUGGCGAAAGCCGCACCCGAUGGACACAUGGUUAAUAUUCCAUGACCGGCACAUAUGCGAUGGAGAGACGGAUUGCUGUAUCUACUGCCCAUUAUUGGAUUUGGGUUAUUGCUGUGAGGAGGUGUCUUAGGUAAAUCCGGGACGCAUUAACUCCGAGCAGAGACACAAUAUUCUUCUACGGAGGAAUAGAGAGUAGAGAGCGCGGUUCCAAGAAAAUCUUCUAAGCUUCAGUAUGUGUUCGACCGUACCGCAAACCGACACAGGUGUUCAGGUCGAGUAGACUAAGACGAACGAGUGAGAGGUCCUCAAGGAACUCGGCAAAAAAGCGGCCGUAAGUUAGCGAUAAGGCCUGCCCCUACUUAACUGUAGGGGCCGCAGCGAAAGAUUUUCUGCCAACUGUUUACCAAAAACACAGCUCCCUGCGAACUCGUAAGAGGAUGUAUAGGGGGUGACGCCUGACCAAUGCCGGAAGGUCAAGCAGGGACGGUACAUUGAUUU